AAUCCUUGCUCUAUUCCUUCCAAAAGGUCCAGUCCCCGCUGUUUUUGUCUCGCUCCUGUUCCCUGUUUCCCCACUGUCUACUUUCCUCGUACUCCCCCUCCCAGCCCCUCGUAGACUUGAAAGUCUUAUCCUCCCCAACCUUCCAGCCAACUCCAACCAGACCUCCGUGAUUCACAAAUCCUAUCCUGGAGAGAUGAUUUCCCUGUGAGUGGGCCGGUCCUGAUAUCAUCCGGAAUUGCCAGAACAGUUGAUCCCCAGGAGCUUGACUUGGUGAAGGUUGGGAACUCAAGACAAUGCCAAUGAACAUUUAGCUCGGAGGAAUUUGGUCUGUGACCACAGAGCAAACAGCAAGACCAGGGACACAAGGUAGAGAAGAGUGAGUGGAAAACAUCUCAUCUGAUCUCUACACGGCCAAUGACUGUCGAAGGGGCGGUGCAAUCAGGUCCCUAACCUGCUGGGCCUGCCGCCAGAGGGUCCCGUCCAGGCUGCUGCAGGAGCAGCCCCAGGAACCAGGCCGGACCUCGAGAAGCCGAGGGAAGGGGAGUCGCGGGCUUCAGGCUUCAGAAAGAAGCGAGGCAGGGGAAAUCCCUUCUGGAAGGAGGGGUUGAGGAGGUGUCUGGCCGAGGGUGAGUCUUCAAGAGGGCGGGACAUUAACGCUGUGAUGUGAAGCUCUGCCGGUGUUUUUCUACAGUUCACACAAUCACCAGAAAGCCCGUGUCUUGGCACCAGAACCUGGAGGAACCUGCAGACGAUGGGGCCGGGAGUGGAGACCUCAUACCGUGCCGAUGGAGACAGACAAGUAGCCAGGUUCCUAAAUCUUAUCCACCAGGCCGCUCAGGGGCCACGGAAGAGAUACCCAGACACGCAAACAGAAAGCCCAGAAAUUGGACGGGACUCUGAGGCCUAGGAGUGUGUGCUGAGCCCCUGGGGUGCGCUGGCCCAGGCCCCACGGACUCUGAACCCAGGUUGCCCUCCCUCCCCGGGGGUUGCCUUCUGAUGCCCACCAUCUCCUCUCUGGGUCAGCCCGGAAUGUGACGAGCGCAGGCUGAACCGUGUCAGGGUGCACAGCGACAUCGCGCCCCACAAGGCUAAAGCGUGGAGCUGGCGAGAAGAUGAUCGCCUCGCGUCGUAUUCAGCGCCCACCUCGGUCUCAUCCCUGAAACCCAGCGUGUGGGCUGUGUGGAUAAAUAAAGAUGACUUUCCAGCGUCAGUCUGA